rnacentral:snRNA from 1 species
AUACCUUUCUCGGCCUUUUGGCUAAGAUUAAGUGUAGUAUUUGUUAUUAUCAGUUUAAUAUUUGAUAUUUGAUAUGUGGGUUACAUCCUCACAAUGACAUUAAAUUUAUUUUUUAUGGGAACAUUCUGCACCAGGUGCUCCCUGUACACCACCUUAUCGUACUUGGGAACGCUACCCGU